CCGGAGAAUGUUAUCACGGGAGACACACGGCGGGUGCUAACGUCCGUCGUGAAGAGGGAAACAACCCAGACCGCCAGCUAAGGUCCCAAAGUCAUGGUUAAGUGGGAAACGAUGUGGGAAGGCCCAGACAGCCAGGAUGUUGGCUUAGAAGCAGCCAUCAUUUAAAGAAAGCGUAAUAGCUCACUGGUCGAGUCGGCCUGCGCGGAAGAUGUAACGGGGCUAAACCAUGCACCGAAGCUGCGGCAGCGACACUGUGUGUUGUUGGGUAGGGGAGCGUUCUGUAAGCCUGYGAAGGUGKSYYGUGAGGSWUGCUGGAGGUAUCAGAAGUGCGAAUGCUGACAUAAGUAACGAUAAAGCGGGUGAAAAGCCCGCUCGCCGGAAGACCAAGGGUUCCUGUCCAACGUUAAUCGGGGCAGGGUGAGUCGACCCCUAAGGCGAGGCCGAAAGGCGUAGUCGAUGGGAAACGGGUUAAUAUUCCCGUACUUGGUGUUACUGCGAAGGGGGGACGG
rnacentral:rRNA from 1 species